rnacentral:lncRNA from 7 species
GGUGAGAACUGUCAUAGUGGUGCCUUAAAGGGGUAAAUAUCUUCUGCUGUGCUCCUCCCACUAUGCGGAUGACCUGACCUGGAUUUCUGUUGUGCUGGUAACACAUCUGCAUUUCUCUAUGAAAUAACGUCUUAGCAGAAUGGCAGCCAGAUUUCAAACCCCAGAGGAGUCCCUGUGUUGGUUAUGGAAACAGGAAAUACAGCAAAGCACUGCAAGAUAUGAGGAUAACAACGAGCUGUGCUAGGGCAGCCACCUGGCAGAAGAAUGGGACCUUGCUGCUUGGACGUGGGAUGCUUGCAAGCACGUUCCUCUCAAAUAAGAGGUUACGAUGAAGAGUUUAGAGCUGUUGGUUGGAUGCAGUCAGGUGGGGCUUAAAUCACACAACACAAAUCAGCCAUAAGUACAAAACUCUGCAAAGAUCUUAGUUUGUUUCCAGAUAUGCAGCACUGCUGAGACUCUGGCACUAAAUCUCAUUAAAAUGUGAGUGCAGAGGGGCUGGCAAGACUGAUGGCAUUAAAUGCAUGUCCCUAUGCAAAUGCACUUUGAUUUGUAGCUAAAACAAGAGGCUUUUAGACUUUGAGAGCACCUCAGGUGCAUGUAAGCUACUUCAGAAAAACAUGAGGCUGUGUGAGGCAGCAGAGCUGAGGUGCUACAGGUGAGGUGGAUCUGGAAGUUCUUCCACAGAUAGAUACUGCAAGCAUCAACUCAAAAAUCCUGCAAGUACCACUCAGCAACACCUGCCUUCGCUGUGUGACCACAGUGUCAGCAGCACUAGGAGCAUCUUGCAUUUUGGUCCUUUCUGCUAAACAUGCACCUUUAUGGCUACUGGGAGAAGAACUUCUGCAGUGCCCUUUUCAUUAGCUUAACAUAAAACAGUUGUUACUCAGUAUAUGCAUCUUCCAGUGUAGGGUCACCCUCUCUGUGGUUUCUUGUAUUUCGAACAGAUGUGUGAUAGUAUUUGUUGUGGUGUAAAUACAUGUGUAUGUACAAUAAAAGUAAAACAUGGGGAGAGUCCAUUCACAAGUAGGAAAGAUACCUGCUAAAGCGCUGAAGUCAAUUCGGAGUCACCUCUGUGAACCCAAGAAUGUAUUUAAUGGGCCCUGAUCUUGCCUGGAGAGUGGGAUGAAGAGGCUUCAUCACUCUGAGUUCUACCACCUUAAUUUUUUUCUUAAUAUAUGCAGGAACAGAUUCUUGAUCUGGAUGGUAAACGGUGACUUCAAAUAGCAAAUUUCUGCUGUCCUUUUCCUUUGGAAAAACAGCACUAACUAACAAGGCUGUCCAUGGGAGUGAAGUGUGCUUACGUAGCCGUUCUAUGGCUCUGAUGUGGGAAAUUGGUGAUGCGUUAAGUUCUCAAAUGCAGAACAAAUCCAACAGAGGAAAAAUAUUAAUUUACAUUAAGCACAUCUGGUUUUGUUGGUUUUGCUCAACGCGCUGAGCUGGUCUGUACUGCAAAUGCUCCCACAGUGAGAGGUGCCUCUUGUUGCAUUUGUGUUUUCAUCUUUAACAGAAAACAUAAGAAAAAAAAAGUCAUGAAUAUAGCUUUGGGCUUGAAGUGAAAACCAGGCAAUGCUGGCAGAUUGCGACAACUAUAUGCUCAGGCUAUAUGCAAGAUUCAGUGUGCUGAGUACUCACAGGCUGAGGCUGACACUGACGGCUCUGUUGGGAAGUUCCAUUGUUGUUAAAAAUGUUGCAGAAAUCCAGGUUAAGAAUAGGAAGCCACGGGGUGUUCUGUGGGAGUGCAGGUUUCACUGAAAGAAAAUAAACUGUUAAUCCCAAACAUCAAAAACAUUGCUACAAAGAUGGAAAAGUAAUAAUAAUAAUAAAAACAUGCUUCAUAAGUCAUUUUGUGAUGGAUGCCACAGGGCAGGGCAGUAGCCAGUCUCAUCGUGUCAAGUAUUCUUGGCGCAGUGGUUGAAAUUCACGUUGUGUUUUAGGAAAGACGUAGGUUGAGUGCCGAGUGAUACAGGAAUACUAAGAACCAACAGUGGAGUUAAUGACAGCACUGCCCCACAGUUGGGCUGCAACUGGCCUCAUUGAUGAAGGGCCCUCUGGACCUAACUUCAAAGCGAGAUUUUUGACGUCUCAAGUGUUUUCCUUGCUGUUUGUGCUUGAGUUGUCAUCUCCAGCGUUACGCUCAAAGGCAGCGGAUUAGCAGAACUCAGAAAGGCAAAGAUGGAUUACUCCUGAAAGCAGAUUCCCCCAGACAGCC